rnacentral:rRNA from 1 species
GCGAAGUAGCUGAUUUCACACUGUCAAGAAAAGUCUCUAUCGAGGUUAAAGGUACCCGUACCGCAAACCGACACAGGUGGGGGAGGAGAGUAUCCUAAGGCCAGCGAGAGAACUGUUGUUAAGGAACGCGGCAAAAUGACCCCGUAACUUAGGGAUAAGGGGUGCCACCAUCAGGUGGCCGCAGAGAAUAGGCCCAAGCGACUGUUUAC